rnacentral:rRNA from 1 species
UACGUAGGGUGCGAGCGUUAAUCGGAAUUACUGGGCGUAAAGGGUGCGCAGGCGGAAGUUUAAGUUAGGAGUGAAACCCCCGGGCUCAACCUGGGGAGUGCUUUUAAGACUGGACAUCUAGAGUUUGUCAGAGGGGGGUGGAAUUCCAAGUGUAGCAGUGAAAUGCGUAGAGAUUUGGAGGAACAUCGAUGGCGAAGGCAGCCCCCUGGGAUAGAACUGACGCUCAGGCACGAAAGCGUGGGUAGCAAAC